AUUGAGAGCCUGGGAAGAAGCUCUACCCAGACAAGGGCAAGAGGUGCACAGUGAGGUGGCUGAAGACAGCAAUAUACAGCCUUCAGCCCUGCACAGGCUGGUCUACCUUUGAUGAAGGUUUGUUUUUCCUCUCUGUCAUACCUCAAGAGGAACACAAAGAGUGAUGGCCUGUCACUCUGAUGCCUCUCUCUACUCAAAUGGCAGAAACCAACCAGUUAGGUUCUGUCAAUAGAAGAUACUAAAGAAAGAAAGCCAGGAGAAGAAAAGGGACUUCUUUCUUCAAGGUCUAAGCUGUUCUAAUAGCAUUAUUCUGGGAAUGGCAUCUUCCACUCCUCCUAGUACAAAGAACCUGCUUCCUCAUACCCCGUCAAGGAACUGCAGCAUCCAGGUGAUGGCCACAGUGGCAGAACCUAGGAAGCCAAGAAGAAACCAGAGAAUGGAGACACAUGGCAGCAAUGGCAAGUCAUCAGACCCAGGAUUUCCCAAAGAACACUGGUCCAGGAAGAUGCUCUGUGAAAAAGUGUUCCCUGGUCGGAGAAAUUUGUGAAACACUUUGCAUAAUACUUAAAAGAAUGUAUGGCACAUCAAAGGUAAUAUGCAAUAAAAGAAUUCAUUUUUUUAAAA
ensembl:lncRNA LINC01905 long intergenic non-protein coding RNA 1905